UACGUAGGGGGCGAGCGUUGUCCGGAGUUACUGGGCGUAAAGCGCGCGUAGGUGGCCUCAUAAGUCCGCUGUGAAAGUCAAAGGCUCAACCUUUGAAAGCCGGUGGAUACUGUGAGGCUAGAGUACGGAAGAGGCGAGUGGAAUUCCUGGUGUAGCGGUGGAAUGCGCAGAUAUCAGGAGGAACACCAAUAGCGAAGGCAGCUCGCUGGGACGUUACUGACACUGAGGCGCGAAAGCGUGGGGAGCGAACAGG
rnacentral:rRNA from 1 species